rnacentral:lncRNA from 1 species
CCUGCGUUCAUGACUUCCAGUUUGAUCUCUUUCCUUCAAAGGAGUGCGAGAAGGUUCCUCUUCUCUAUGAUCUUGACUUCUAGUUCGGUUUCUUUGCUUCUCAGAAGGAGAGUGAGGAGAAGGUUCCUCUUUUCUGUGAUCAUGACUUCUAGUUCGGUUUCUUUGCUUCUCAGAAGAAGAGUAAGGAGAAGGUUCCCCUUCUCUAUAAUCAUGAUUUCUAGCUUGGUUUCUUUCCUUCCCAGGAGUGUGAGGAGGGCGCCUUGGGUCUUCAUAAAGGGUUACACCUCUUCCAGUGGUUUCAAACAUGGCUUCUUC